CAAGUUUUUAAGGGCGCACGGUGGAUGCCUUGGCACCAGGAACCGAUGAAGGACGUGGGAGGCCACGAUAGGCCCCGGGGAGCUGUCAACCGAGCUUUGAUCCGGGGGUGUCCGAAUGGGGAAACCCGGCAGUCGUCAUGGGCUGUCACCCGCUGCUGAACACAUAGGCAGUGUGGAGGGAACGCGGGGAAGUGAAACAUCUCAGUACCCGCAGGAAGAGAAAACAACCGUGAUUCCGGGAGUAGUGGCGAGCGAAACUGGAUGAGGCCAAACCAGUCACGUGUGAUACCCGGCAGGGGUUGCGUGGUUGGGGUUGUGGGAUCUCUCUUUUGCAGUCUGCCGGCUGUGAGGCGAGUCAGAAACCGUUGAUGUAGGCGAAGGACAUGCGAAAGGUCCGGCGUAGAGGGUAAGACCCCCGUAGCUGAAACAUUAGCGGCUCGUUUGAGAGACACCCAAGUAGCACGGGGCCCGAGAAAUCCCGUGUGAAUCUGGCGGGACCACCCGUUAAGCCUAAAUAUUCCCUGGUGACCGAUAGCGGAUAGUACCGUGAGGGAAUGGUGAAAAGUACCGCGGGAGCGGAGUGAAAUAGUACCUGAAACCGUGUGCCUACAAGCCGUGGGAGCGUCGCUGGUGAGUUUACUCAUCAGUCGUGACUGCGUGCCUUUUGAAGAAUGAGCCUGCGAGUUUGCGGUAUGUUGCGAGGUUAACCCGUGUGGGGAAGCCGUAGCGAAAGCGAGUCCGAAUAGGGCGUGGAGUAGCAUGCUCAAGACCCGAAGCGGAGUGAUCUAGCCAUGGGCAGGUUGAAGCGGAGGUAAGACUUCGUGGAGGACCGAACCCACCAGGGUUGAAAACCUGGGGGAUGACCUGUGGUUAGGGGUGAAAGGCCAAUCAAACUCCGUGAUAGCUGGUUCUCCCCGAAAUGCAUUUAGGUGCAGCGUCGUGUGUUUCUUGCCGGAGGUAGAGCACUGGAUAGGCGAUGGGCCCUACCGGGUUACUGACCUUAGCCAAACUCCGAAUGCCGGUAAGUGAGAGCGCGGCAGUGAGACUGUGGGGGAUAAGCUCCAUGGUCGAGAGGGAAACAGCCCAGAGCAUCGACUAAGGCCCCUAAGCGUGUGCUAAGUGGGAAAGGAUGUGGAGUCGCAGAGACAACCAGGAGGUUGGCUUAGAAGCAGCCACCCUUGAAAGAGUGCGUAAUAGCUCACUGGUCAAGUGAUUCCGCGCCGACAAUGUAGCGGGGCUCAAGUACACCGCCGAAGUCGUGUCAUUGCAGCAUGAGGGCUAACGCCUGUUGUGAUGGGUAGGGGAGCGUCGUGUGCCGGGUGAAGCAGCCGUGGAAACGAGUUGUGGACGGUUCACGAGUGAGAAUGCAGGCAUGAGUAGCGAUACAAGAGUGGGAAACUCUUGCGCCGAUUGACUAAGGGUUCCUGGGUCAAGCUGAUCUGCCCAGGGUAAGUCGGGACCUAAGGCGAGGCCGACAGGCGUAGUCGAUGGACAACCGGUUGAUAUUCCGGUACCCGCUUUGAAGCGCCCAAUACUGAAUCAGGCGAUGCUAAGUCCGUGAAGCCGCCCUGGAGCCUUCGGGUGAAGGGGAGUGGUGGAGCCGACGGACCAGACUUGUAGUAGGUAAGCGAUGGGGUGACGCAGGAAGGUAGUCCAGCCCGGGCGGUGGUUGUCCCGGGGUAAGGGUGUAGGCCGUGUGGUAGGUAAAUCCGUCGCACGUUAAGGCUGAGACCUGAUGCCGAGCCGAUUGUGGUGAAGUGGAUGAUCCUAUGCUGUCGAGAAAAGCCUCUAGUGAGUUUCAAGGCGGCCCGUACCCUAAACCGACUCAGGUGGUCAGGUAGAGAAUACCGAGGCGUUCGGGUGAACUAUGGUUAAGGAACUCGGCAAAAUGCCCCCGUAACUUCGGGAGAAGGGGGGCCAUUUCUGGUGAGGGAACUUGCUUCCUGAGCUGGGGGUGGCCGCAGAGACCAGCGAGAAGCGACUGUUUACUAAAAACACAGGUCCGUGCGAAGCCGUAAGGCGAUGUAUACGGACUGACGCCUGCCCGGUGCUGGAACGUUAAGGGGACCGGUUAGCUUGGAUUCGUUCAGGCGAAGCUGAGAACUUAAGCGCCAGUAAACGGCGGUGGUAACUAUAACCAUCCUAAGGUAGCGAAAUUCCUUGUCGGGUAAGUUCCGACCUGCACGAAUGGCGUAACGACUUCUCGACUGUCUCAACCAUAGGCCCGGUGAAAUUGCAUUACGAGUAAAGAUGCUCGUUUCGCGCAGCAGGACGGAAAGACCCCGGGACCUUUACUAUAGCUUGAUAUUGGUGUUCGGUUCGGCUUGUGUAGGAUAGGUGGGAGACUGUGAAGCGCCAACGCCAGUUGGUGUGGAGUCGUUGUUGAAAUACCACUCUGGUCGUGCUGGAUGUCUAACCUGGGUCCGUGAUCCGGAUCAGGGACAGUGUCUGGUGGGUAGUUUAACUGGGGCGGUUGCCUCCUAAAGAGUAACGGAGGCGCCCAAAGGUUCCCUCAGCCUGGUUGGUAAUCAGGUGUUGAGUGUAAGUGCACAAGGGAGCUUGACUGUGAGACUGACGGGUCGAGCAGGUACGAAAGUAGGGACUAGUGAUCCGGCGGUGGCUUGUGGAAGCGCCGUCGCUCAACGGAUAAAAGGUACCCCGGGGAUAACAGGCUGAUCUUCCCCAAGAGUCCAUAUCGACGGGAUGGUUUGGCACCUCGAUGUCGGCUCGUCGCAUCCUGGGGCUGGAGUCGGUCCCAAGGGUUGGGCUGUUCGCCCAUUAAAGCGGUACGCGAGCUGGGUUUAGAACGUCGUGAGACAGUUCGGUCCCUAUCCGCUGUGCGCGUAGGAGUCUUGAGAAGGGCUGUCCCUAGUACGAGAGGACCGGGACGGACGAACCUCUGGUGUGCCAGUUGUUCUGCCAAGGGCAUGGCUGGUUGGCUACGUUCGGAAAGGAUAACCGCUGAAAGCAUCUAAGCGGGAAGCCUGCUUCGAGAUGAGGGCUCCCUCCUCCUUGAGAGGGUAAGGCUCCCAGUAGACGACUGGGUUGAUAGGCCAGAUAUGGAAGCACUGUAAGGUGUGGAGUUGACUGGUACUAAUAGGCCGAGGGCUUGUCC
rnacentral:rRNA from 1 species